rnacentral:rRNA from 1 species
AUACCGGCCAGAGACCGAUAGCGCACAAGUAGAGUGAUCGAAAGAUGAAAAGCACUUUGAAAAGAGGGUUAAAAAGUACGUGAAAUUGUUGAAAGGGAAGCGCCUAUGACCAGACUUGGGCCCGGUGAAUCAUCCAGCGUUCUCGCUGGUGCACUUUGCCGGGCACAGGCCAGCAUCAGUUUGGCGCGGGGGAAAAAGGCUUUGGGAAUGUGGCUCCCUCGGGAGUGUUAUAGCCCAUUGUGUAAUACCCUGCGCCGGACUGAGGUACGCGCAUUGCAAGGAUGCUGGCGUAAUGGUCAUCAGCGACCCGUCUUGAAACACGGACC